CGAGCGAAGCGGGAUGAGCUCAAAUUUGAAAUCUGGCGUCUUUCAGGCGUCCGAGUUGUAAUCUAUAGAAGCGUUUUCUGUGCUGGACCAUGUCCAAGUCCCUUGGAACAGGGUAUCAAAGAGGGUGACAAUCCCGUACUUGACAUGACCACCAGUGCUCUGUGAUACGUUUUCGACGAGUCGAGUUGUUUGGGAAUGCAGCUCAAAAUGGGUGGUAAAUUCCAUCUAAAGCUAAAUAUUGGCGAGAGACCGAUAGCGAACAAGUACCGUGAGGGAAAGAUGAAAAGCACUUUGGAAAGAGAGUUAAACAGUACGUGAAAUUGUUGAAAGGGAAACGAUUGAAGUCAGUCGUGUCUAUUGGUUUCAGCCGGUUCUGCCGGUGUAUUACCUUUAGACGGGUCAACAUCAGUUUUGGACGGCACAUAAGAGCAGUUUGAAUGUAGCACCUCCGGGUGUGUUAUAGCUUUCUGUUGCAUAUGCUGUCCGAGACUGAGGACUGCAGCUCGCCUUCACAGGCCGGGGUUCGCCCACGUUCGAGCUUAGG
rnacentral:rRNA from 1 species